rnacentral:tRNA from 1 species
GGGCCGCUAGCUCAGUUGGUAGAGCAACGGACUUUUAAUCCGUGGGUCGAAGGUUCGAAUCCUUCGCGGCUCACCA